GCCACCUUGGCUAAGUGGUUACGGCGCUCCGCUUGUAUGUCAUGCGACGGAGAGAUCACUCGUUCGAUCCGGGUAGGUGGCA